UUAACACAUGCAAGUCGAACGAUGAACACCGGAGCUUGCUCUGGUGGGAUUAGUGGCGAACGGGUGAGUAACACGUGAGCAAUCUGCCCCCGACUCUGGGAUAACCCCGAGAAAUCGGAGCUAAUACCGGAUACGACACCUCCUGGCAUCAGGUGGGUGUGGAAAGAAUUUCGGUUGGGGAUGAGCUCGCGGCCUAUCAGCUUGUUGGUGAGGUAAUGGCUCACCAAGGCGACGACGGGUAGCCGGCCUGAGAGGGUGACCGGCCACACUGGGACUGAGACACGGCCCAGACUCCUACGGGAGGCAGCAGUGGGGAAUAUUGCACAAUGGGCGCAAGCCUGAUGCAGCAACGCCGCGUGGGGGACGACGGCCUUCGGGUUGUAAACCUCUUUUGGCAGGGAAGAAGCGAAAGUGACGGUACCUGCAGAAAAAGCACCGGCUAACUACGUGCCAGCAGCCGCGGUAAUACGUAGGGUGCAAGCGUUGUCCGGAAUUAUUGGGCGUAAAGAGCUCGUAGGCGGUGUGUCACGUCUGCUGUGAAAAUCCAAGGCUCAACCUUGGACUUGCAGUGGGUACGGGCACACUCGAGUGCGGUAGGGGAGAUUGGAAUUCCUGGUGUAGCGGUGGAAUGCGCAGAUAUCAGGAGGAACACCGAUGGCGAAGGCAGAUCUCUGGGCCGUAACUGACGCUGAGGAGCGAAAGCGUGGGGAGCGAACAGGAUUAGAUACCCUGGUAGUCCACGCCGUAAACGGUGGGAACUAGAUGUGGGGUCCGUUCCACGGAUUCCGUGUCGCAGCUAACGCAUUAAGUUCCCCGCCUGGGGAGUACGGCCGCAAGGCUAAAACUCAAAGGAAUUGACGGGGGCCCGCACAAGCGGCGGAGCAUGCGGAUUAAUUCGAUGCAACGCGAAGAACCUUACCAAGGCUUGACAUAUAGAGGAAAAGUGCAGAGAUGCACUCCC
rnacentral:rRNA from 1 species